AAGCCCACACACUCACAAACUGGCCGUGUGGCGGGGGGGAGGAGUGAGAGCGGAUCCGUAGUUAAGUGCCUCGACAGCCCCGCGGAUUGAUCACUCGCACCGUGACACAGGGGGAGAUUAACCAAACCACGCGCACCGUGGCUGUGGUUUGGAGAACAUUGGGAAAACCAGGCAGGCUUUCUGGGAUACUGCAGUCAGACAGCAGCCAUCACACUGAAAGAAAGAGAAAGAGAGAGAGGUAGUGAAAGACAGAGAGAAAGAGAGAGCGAGAAUGAGGGAGCAGACAAAGCACGUUUCUUGAAGAACACACCGGGGAGUCACUGCUGAACCUAGCCUACAGGCUGAGGAACAACCAACAAUGAUGAAUUGGAACUGGGAAGUGCCGAGUUGCAGUGUAAGAUGAGCACUACCAGCCUCGGUGAUCGAGCCCGCGGACGGGCAGCCGCGAACCUUACCAGCCCCGGCGAGAGGCAGACCCGCCGGGGAUCGUCGCCGCGGAGAUGCCAGUUCUGGUUUCCCUCGGCGAAGGGGGACCCCCUCGCAGCAAAGCAGGUCCUGGCCUCCAGGAAAUACUCU